rnacentral:rRNA from 1 species
GUGGGGAAUAUUGGGCAAUGGGCGAAAGCCUGACCCAGCAACGCCGCGUGAGGGAAGAAGGCCUUCGGGUUGUAAACCUCUGUCCUUGGUGACGAAACAAAUGACGGUAGCCAAGGAGGAAGCCCCGGCUAACUACGUGCCAGCAGCCGCGGUAAUACGUAGGGGGCGAGCGUUGUCCGGAAUUACUGGGCGUAAAGGGUGCGUAGGUGGCCUUUUAAGUUGGAUGUGAAAUACCCGGGCUUAACUUGGGGGGUGCAUCUAAUACUGGAGGGCUAGAGUGCAGGAGAGGGAAGCGGAAUUCCUAGUGUAGCGGUGAAAUGCGUAGAUAUUAGGAGGAACAUCAGUGGCGAAGGCGACACCCUGGACCGAUACUGACACUGAGGUGCGAAAGCGUGGGUAGCGAACAGGAUUAGAUACCCUUGUAGUCC